rnacentral:tRNA from 1 species
GCCGGUGUGGCUCAGUGGAUAGAGCAUCAGUCCACGGACUGCAGGGUCCCGGGUUCGAUUCCGGUCAAGGGCA